rnacentral:rRNA from 1 species
UGGGGAAUAUUGCACAAUGGAGGGAACUCUGAUGCAGCGACGCCGCGCGAGUGAUGAAGGAAUUCGUUUCGUAAAACUCUGUUCUAUGGGAAGAAAAGGACUGUACCAUAGGAGAAAGCUCCGGCUAAAUACGUGCCAGCAGCCGCGGUAAUACGUAUGGAGCGAGCGUUGUCCGGAAUUAUUGGGCGUAAAGGGUGCGCAGGCGGCUUUACAAGUUGGAUGUGAAAUAUUGUGGCUCAACCACAAACGUGCAUCCAAAACUGCAAAGCUUGAGUUAAGGAGAGGUAAGUGGAAUUCCUGGUGUAGCGGUGAAAUGCGUAGAUAUCAGGAGGAAUACCGGUGGCGAAGGCGACUUACUGGACUUAAACUGACGCUCAGGCACGAAAGCGUGGGGAGCAAACAGG